UCUUAAUGAUGAUCAAAAUGAUGACGAGUCCGAUUCAUUUCCAUUCAUAAAACCUUGACGACAAUCGAGGCAUUUGUCUGAAAGAA